GAACCUGGAGCCUGGAGGGCUAGAAGGCGAGUCACAUCUGGAAGCACCUGGAUUUUGUGCUUUCAAGAUGCAGCUACCAUUUUACAAGAAAUUUGGAAAUAAAGAAAUCCCUUUGAAAUUGAACAAGGAUCUUGCUAAAGUGCAACUCCAAAGCUGCAAGACAUCUUGACUGGAUCCAAAAUUUGCAAAGAAUACUCUCAAAAUAAUCCCAUCUCAAAUCAGCUAGCUUCUGAGAACAGAGGCAGUUACCCUGAAAACAGUCUAACAUUGCCUGAAGAUCUCUCCCAUAGAAGCACCAUACAAAUUGUGUCUCCUGUUUGUGUGGGUCUUUUUUCUCAUUCUACAUGCACUUUGAAUAUCCAUUUCAAGGUACUGCUGCUUUUCUUCAAAGACCUAAUGGUUUGGAAACCAACACUGAAAGAAAUGCCUCCUUCACACCAGUCUGCUAGCAUGCAAGAUCCAAAUUCUGUAAGGUCCCAGAAAUCAUUCUUCAUAUCACCAACUCCACUAAAGAUUCAUCUUGAAAACAGGUGUGCUGGAGGUAGUAGGCACCCAUGGCCUGGUUCUUCUCAUCUGAGGAACACAGGAGUUGAAUGGCUUUCUGGAUGGUCAUUGCUCCAUAAUA